GGCUCUGGGCUUUGCUCAUGAACAAAAAUGUCGGAUACACAGAAACAUUCAACAAAUACUGAAAAACGAUCAUUGGGGCCCUACGGUUUAGGAGAUCCCGAAGAUAAAACUUUACGAAAAGUCGAAAUCGAAAAUGUUGCAAAUCUAACAGUGUACUUAUGGUGGUAAAUUGCCGACAUGAAAAUUCGGCUUUGAAAGAGUGCCUAACACGUUGGUACCAUGAUGAAGCGUUUAAAAGGAAAUGUACAAACGAUUAUUUAGAGGAACG